GAUGAAGAACGUAGCGAAAUGCGAUAAGUAAUGUGAAUUGCAGAAUUCAGUGAAUCAUCGAGUCUUUGAACGCACAUUGCGCCCCCUGGUAUUCCGGGGGGCAUGCCUGUCCGAGCGUCAUUGCUGCCCUCAAGCACGGCUUGUGUGUUGGGCCCCCGUCCCCGGUUUCCCCCGGGGACGGGCCCGAAAGGCAGCGGCGGCACCGCGUCCGGUCCUCGAGCGUAUGGGGCUUUGUCACCCGCUCUGUAGGCCCGGCCGGCGCCAGCCGACACCCAACUUUAUUUCUAAGGUUGACCUCGGAUCAGGUAGGGAUACCCGCUGAAUUUAAGCAUAUCAAUAAGCGGAGGA
rnacentral:misc_RNA from 1 species